rnacentral:lncRNA from 1 species
CUUAAUUUAAAUAAAAAUAAAUAAAUAAGCUGACUAAAAUUCAUCUUAAAGACAAGAGAUGAAAAUCUGACUUCGAUGGUUUCGUUUCGUUGUAAAACGUAAAAUCUAUGAUCAAGACUGAGCGGUGCAGCGAAGCGCCGCCUGGCGGACUCGAGAUUGGGUGAACAGCCGCGCACAGCGGUGUUGCCGGAUUUCGCUUCGCACCUUCCCGUGCGGCUGGAGCUCUUUGGGAACCUUAUUUCUGGAUCGACCCUCGUAAGUAUAUCAGUGAUUCUUUUUAUACAAUACACUGUAAUUUUCUGUUUUCGCUAUACUCUCGCAAAAACUAUUAAAUAUAAUUCGGAACUAAUUUGUUGUUAAUGAGAUCAAAUUUUACUAAGAACUUUUUAAAUUUGAGAUGAUAAAUCAUUUAUCUCUUUUACAGUUACGUGUAGUCUAUAUUUUUCAACCUCCUUAAUUGUGUUUCUAAAAGCUUCAGAUAUAAAGAAGUUUCCGAUAUUUCAUGUAUCAACUGAUGGUCCAUUAUUCCAUUUCUGAUUUUCGUUUAACGAAAGGGGCAGUCCGAUUAUUUAGCAGAGAAUGCUUUGUCACAGUUGAAUGUUUUUUAAAACAGCAGGAUUCUUGUGUCCAUUUAUCACUUGUUUUUGCGUAUUCCUUCCAUACGUUAACAUCAUUGUGCCAUUUAUUGUCUCAAUCCAGCCAUUUAAAUUUGCAGUUUUAAUUUUUAUAUUUUGGUCUUUGAAACUCUUCGUUUUUUUGCAUUCUAACUUUUGUUAAUAAUUUGUUUUUAUCAUUUUAUACAUGCAUACAUAUGUAUGUAUGUAUUUCACACAAAAUAAAAUCAAAUAU